UACGUAGGGGGCAAGCGUUGUCCGGAAUCAUUGGGCGUAAAGCGCGCGUAGGCGGCCCGGUAAGUCCGUUGUGAAAGUCAAAGGCUCAACCUUUGAAUGCCGACGGAUACUGCCGGGCUAGAGUCCGGAAGAGGCGAGUGGAAUUCCUGGUGUAGCGGUGGAAUGCGCAGAUAUCAGGAGGAACACCAGCGGCGAAGGCGGCGCUCUGGGCCGGUACUGACACUGAGGAGCGAAAGCGUGGGUAGCAAACAGG
rnacentral:rRNA from 1 species